AAUUAUAAUUUCUAAGCCUAAAGUCAGAAACAAUUAAUCAGACUUCUUAUUAAAUAUGAUUCACAUAUGUAAUAAAUAUAUUAUUAAUAUCAAUUUCUAAACUUUCACAUAAUAAACUUUUUAAGUUUGAAUCCUUCAUCUAUAUUUUUUCUGUAACAUAUAUCCACACUUUUAAGGCCAUUGCAAAAUCACUAAUUAAGACGGCAGCAAAUUAUGAUACUAAAGUUUACCAAAAGCCCAAUGUAAGAAUGCUAGUUAUCCCUAGAUGUUCUCUGGACCUCUCUAAAUUCAAGAAGGCAACAUUUAACACAUCCUUUAAGAUGACCUUAUCCCAUAGUAGCAUUACAGAGUCCUUAAAAGAAGGAAUACAAAGAAUAUAUGUAACAGGACUUGGACAUGGAUACAUAAAAUCAUACAUGAGGAUAAUAAUAUACAGUUACAAGCUCUCAGUCAAAGUGAAA
rnacentral:lncRNA from 1 species